rnacentral:rRNA from 1 species
GAUGAACGCUGGCGGCGUGCCUAAUACAUGCAAGUCGAGCGAACAGACGAGGAGCUUGCUCCUCUGACGUUAGCGGCGGACGGGUGAGUAACACGUGGAUAACCUACCUAUAAGACUGGGAUAACUUCGGGAAACCGGAGCUAAUACCGGAUAAUAUAUUGAACCGCAUGGUUCAAUAGUGAAAGACGGUUUUGCUGUCACUUAUAGAUGGAUCCGCGCCGCAUUAGCUAGUUGGUAAGGUAACGGCUUACCAAGGCAACGAUGCGUAGCCGACCUGAGAGGGUGAUCGGCCACACUGUAACAGGAACACGGUCCAGACUCCUACGGGAGGCAGCAGUAGGGAAUCUUCCGCAAUGGGCGAAAGCCUGACGGAGCAACGCCGCGUGAGUGAUGAAGGUCUUCGGAUCGUAAAACUCUGUUAUUAGGGAAGAACAAAUGUGUAAGUAACUAUGCACGUCUUGACGGUACCUAAUCAGAAAGCCACGGCUAACUACGUG